CGAAAUCUCCACCCAGUGGCCAGUACCAACCCGCGGCGCACCUCGCAUCCAUUUCCGGCCAGCGCCGCACCCGUCCAACAUCCAUCUCCAUUCUCUAGCCGCCGGCGAGCCCUGCCCCGCACCCAUACACCGUCGUCGACGCGCCCCGCCCUGAAUCCAUCACCGGCCUCCGGCGAGCUCUGCUAGCCUCCACUCCGGCCGACAGCGCCCUUUUCCGCACCCAAUCUCCGGUCGCCUCCUAAAACUGGAAUCCGUCGCGUCCGAGCAACUGGGUUCGGUGCGUGCCUGGUCCAAGGCGGCGGCCGAUGGUGUAUGGGCCAAGAUCGGGUGGAGGGUCCUGGUUGCCGCGCGCGGUGGAGGGCCCAGGCGGCCGGGCGCGGGCAAGAAGAGGGUAUGGCUCCACCAGCCUGGCGUGGUUCAUGGGAGGGCAUGGCUGCUGCUGUCCGCGCGCGCGGGAGGCGAAUGGAGGGUCUUUGCUGCUGGUGGGCGCGGAAGGGGUUCCGCUGGUGGUCGCUUGUCCUCGAUUUGCCGUCGACCCGUCAUAGAUUCUUGCUCGUGGACUCGCCGGAGAUAUAUAGGAUUAUCUAAGGUUUUCCAGUGCAUAUGAGAGGUUGUUUUUCUUCUACUUGACGAGUUCAUGGUCACUUUUUCGUUCUGAAUUUCAGUGUAUGAUUUCUUGUUCACUUCAGUUUCUUUUGUGUAUCUGUAUCAGAGAUUGGUAUAAGGAGGAUUAGUGCUAUAGUAUUUUUAGUUUCAACAUUGUGAACAAUCUGGAUUGUGGUUCAUUUGUGUAUGUACUGAGCUAGAAGUAACUGUCUGUAAAUGGGAAGUUAGUCUUUGCCAAGCUAGAAAUAAUUGUAUGUUCAUGGGAUGUUACUCUUUGCCAAGCUAGCAGCUAUUAUGUUUGAUGGGAUGAUACUCCUUGUUAAGCUAGUAGUAAUUUUUUGUGUAGUUUGAUGUAAAUCCAUAUAUUAGACUAGACGUAAUUAUGUGUUCUUGGGAUGUUACUCUUUGUCAAGUUAGAAGUAUUUUCUUUUGUGUUCUUGGUUUAACAUCCAUAUGUCAGAGUAAAAGUAAUUACAUGUUGGUUGGAUGUUACUUCUUGCACUGUCAAACUUUUUGCCCCAAACCUGCUGCAACUUUUUUUGAUUUUGUUGUCUCUGAACUAGGCUACUCAUUAAGAGUAAGUGUAGUUUGGUCUGGAUGUUAGUCUGCAUUGCCCACAGUACCUGCUGCUACACACGGCGUUGCCAUAAACUUUAUUUGUACUUACUGCUGCAAAGUUGUUCUUUACCUCAUGAAUAGAAACACAAAUAUGAUGAACUUGAGUCUGCUAUCGGACCGAAUACCCUUGUUUGCAACUGGAUUAAGCCUGUCAUCAGUCAAAAAACAAGUUAUUCUGCUUCUGGUGUCUUCACAUCAUUUACCUAUUAUUGAAGCAAGAGUAAACUGAGUUUCUCCUGAAUUAGCAGUAGUGGAGUAGUAUAGGCACAACCAACAUGGCUCCUCGCCAGCAGGGCGUGCAUCACUUAGCCAUGAAUCAUCUGGGUACGAGCUUUCCUUCAUCCAGCUGCUACCUGCCAGGCUGCUCCACCCACAGCGUAGAUCUUUUUUGGUCUCUCGGUACUUAAGUAACCCGUCGUGUUUAACCAAGCGCGUUGCUAACUGGUAGCAAAGACUGUCGAUGCUGCCUGAGUGCCCGUGUCGCUGCUGGUUCUUGUUCCUAGCCGUGUGUGCACUUACAAGUUGGUGUUUCACCUAGACUUGAGACGUGCUCUCAACCAUAAUUAAGUAGCUUUUACUUGUACCGAAGUAACUCUAUGUUUUAUAUCGAAAUAGUAACACUAUAUUUCCAGUCAUAUUGUAGCUUUUAAUUUUAUUGCGAAGUAAUUUUAUAUUUUGAGCUAUAUAGUUGCUUUUACUUGUACCGAAGUAACUCUAUGUUUUAUAGUGAUGUAACUUUAUAUUUUGAGUCAUAUAGUAGCUUUUACUUGUACCGAAAUAACUAUGUUUAUAGCGAAGUAACUCUGGUCAUAUACUUUUACUGGUACCGAAGUAUCUUUAUAUCUGAGCGAGAAGUAACUCUUUAUUUUGAGACCUAUAGUAGCUUAUACUUCUCCCAAAGUAACUUUAAAUUUGAGCCAGAAGUAACUCUACAUUUUUAGACAUACAGUAUCUUAUAUUUGCAUAAAAGUAACUUUAUAUU